AGAGUUUGAUCAUGGCUCAGAUUGAACGCUGGCGGCGUGCCUAACACAUGCAAGUCGAGCGGUAACAGGUGUAGCAAUACAUGCUGACGAGCGGCGAACGGGUGAGUAAUGCUUUGGAAUCUUCCCAGUAGUGGGGAAUAACCAGUCGAAAGAUUGGCUAAUACCGCAUACGUCUGUAAAGGGAAAGCGGGGGCUCGUAAGACCUCGCGCUAUUGGAUGAGCCAAAGUCGGAUUAGCUAGUUGGUGGGGUAAUGGCCUACCAAGGCGACAAUCCGUAGCUGGUCUGAGAGGACGACCAGCCACACCGGAACUGAGACACGGUCCGGACUCCUACGGGAGGCAGCAGUGGGGAAUAUUGGACAAUGGGGGAAACCCUGAUCCAGCGACGCCGCGUGUGUGAAGAAGGCCUGCGGGUUGUAAAGCACUUUUAGUGGGGACAAAAAGCUACGGAUUAAUACUCUGUGGUCUUGAUUUAACCCAAAGAAAAAGCACCGGCUAACUCUGUGCCAGCAGCCGCGGUAAUACAGAGGGUGCGAGCGUUAAUCGGAAUUACUGGGCGUAAAGCGCGCGUAGACGGUUUUGUAAGUCAGAUGUGAAAUCCCUGGGCUCAACCUGGGAACUGCAUUUGAGACUGCAUGGCUAGAGUAUCGAAGAGGGAAGUGGAAUUUCCGGUGUAGCGGUGAAAUGCGUAGAUAUCGGAAGGAACACCAGUGGCGAAAGCGACUUCCUGGUCGAAUACUGACGUUCAUGUGCGAAAGCGUGGGGAGCAAACAGGAUUAGAUACCCUAGUAGUCC
rnacentral:rRNA from 1 species